AUUGAACGCUGGCGGCAGGCCUAACACAUGCAAGUCGAGCGGAACGGCGGACGGGUGAGUAAUGCCUAGGAAUCUGCCUGGUCGUGGGGGAUGACUUCCGGCAACGGGCGCUAAUACCGCAUACUAUCAAAUGAACCUAGGUCGGAUUAGCUAGUUGGUGGGGUAAUGGCCUACCAAGGCGACGAUCCGUAACUGGUUUGAGAGGAUGAUCAGUCAAACUGGAACUGAGACACGGUCCAGACUCCGACGGGAGGCAGCAGUGGGGAAUAUUGCGCAAUGGGGGCAACCCUGACGCAGCCAUGCCGCGUGAAUGAAGAAGGCCUUCGGGUUGUAAAGUUCUUUCGGUGACGAGGCGUUAAUCACAGAAGAAGCACCGGCUAACUCCGUGCCAGCAGCCGCGGUAAUUC
rnacentral:rRNA from 1 species